UACGUAGGGUGCGAGCGUUGUCCGGAAUUAUUGGGCGUAAAGAGCUCGUAGGCGGCCUGUCGCGUCGGAUGUGAAAGCCCGGGGCUUAACCCCGGGUCUGCAUUCGAUACGGGCAGGCUGGAGUGUGGUAGGGGAGAUCGGAAUUCCUGGUGUAGCGGUGAAAUGCGCAGAUAUCAGGAGGAACACCGGUGGCGAAGGCGGUCUGCUGGGGUGAGGCUGACGCUGAUGCGCGACAGCGUGGGGAGAAAACAGG
rnacentral:rRNA from 1 species